CUCCCGUUGAUCCUGCCGGACCUGACUGCUAUCGGAUUGAUACUAAGCCAUGCGAGUCAUUGUAGCAAUACAAGGCAGACGGCUCAGUAACGCGUAGUCAAUCUACCCUAUGGACGGGAAUAACCUCGGGAAACUGAGAAUAAUGCCCGAUAGAACAUUAUGCCUGGAAUGGUUUAUGUUUCAAAUGAUUUAUCGCCAUAGGAUGGGACUGCGGCCUAUCAGUUUGUUGGUGAGGUAAUGGCCCACCAAGACUAUUACAGGUACGGGCUCUGAGAGGAGUAGCCCGGAGAUGGGUACUGAGACACGGACCCAGGCCCUAUGGGGCGCAGCAGGCGAGAAAACUUUGCAAUGUGCGAAAGCACGACAAGGUUAAUCCGAGUGUGUUUCUGCUAAAGNUAACCUUUUGUCAGUCCUAGAAACACUCAGAGCGAAUAAGGGGUGGGCAAGUUCUGGUGCCAGCAGCCGC
rnacentral:rRNA from 1 species